rnacentral:rRNA from 1 species
UGCAGUCGAGCGCCUCGCAGAGGAGCGGCAGACGGGUGAGUAACGCGUGGGAAUCUACCCAUCUCUACGGAACAACUCCGGGAAACUGGAGCUAAUACCGUAUACGUCCUUCGGGAGAAAGAUUUAUCGGAGAUGGAUGAGCCCGCGUUGGAUUAGCUAGUUGGUGGGGUAAUGGCCUACCAAGGCGACGAUCCAUAGCUGGUCUGAGAGGAUGAUCAGCCACACUGGGACUGAGACACGGCCCAGACUCCUACGGGAGGCAGCAGUGGGGAAUAUUGGACAAUGGGCGAAAGCCUGAUCCAGCCAUGCUGCGUGAGUGAUGAAGGCCCUAGGGUUGUAAAGCUCUUUCAACGGUGAAGAUAAUGACGGUAACCGUAGAAGAAGCCCCGGCUAACUUCGUGCCAGCAGCCGCGGUAAUACGAAGGGGGCUAGCGUUGCUCGGAAUUACUGGGCGUAAAGCGCACGUAGGCGGCUUCUUAAGUCGGUGGUGAAAUCCUGGAGCUCAACUCCAGAACUGCCUUCGAUACUGGGAAGCUCGAGUCCGGGAGAGGUGAGUGGAACUGCGAGUGUA